GGGGACGAUCCGGAUUCGACGCCGGUUACAAAACCAAAGGUGCAUGCCGAGAGGGUAGUGACUCUCGUUAAACAAUCGCUGUAACUUUAUAGUUGCCAACGACGAAAACUACGCUCUAGCAGCCUAAUACCUGCUAGCAGUUGCCACCGGAUGCUUGUAAACGGGAAGCGACUGUCAUACAGAACAAGCUAGUCUGGCGGUAUGUUCAGGGCCAACGGGCAAAACUUUUACUGGGCUCGUUUUUCAUCACCCUGGCCAUUGGGUCGAGAGAAAUUAAAUUAAUAGAUGGUGCUAAGCAUGUAGAGCCGAUGGCAGAGGACUGACGGACGCGGGUUCAACUCCCGCCGUCUCCACCA
rnacentral:tmRNA from 1 species